rnacentral:rRNA from 1 species
CCUACGGGACGCAGCAGUGGGGGAUAUUGCACAAUGGGGGGAACCCUGAUGCAGCGACGCCGCGUGGGUGAAGAAGCGCCUCGGCGCGUAAAGCCCUGUCAGCAGGGAAGAAAAUGACGGUACCUGAAGAAGAAGCCCUGGCUAACUACGUGCCAGCAGCCGCGGUAAUACGUAGGGAGCGAGCGUUAUCCGGAUUUAUUGGGUGUAAAGGGUGCGUAGGCGGCUUCUUAAGUCUGUAGUCUAAGCCCGGAGCUUAACUCCGGUUCGCUACAGAAACUGAUUAGCUUGAGUAUGGUAGAGGCAAG